rnacentral:rRNA from 1 species
AAGCGCUUGCAAUCAGACUCGCCUUCAGUUGAUCAGCCUUCCUUCUGGUUGGUGCACUCUGCUGUUGGCGGGCCAGCAUCAGUUGGGGCGGCGGGACAAAGGCGGCAGGAA